GAUGAACGCUGGCGGCGUGCCUAAUACAUGCAAGUCGAGCGAACGGACGAGAAGCUUGCUUCUCUGAUGUUAGCGGCGGACGGGUGAGUAACACGUGGAUAACCUACCUAUAAGACUGGGAUAACUUCGGGAAACCGGAGCUAAUACCGGAUAAUAUUUUGAACCGCAUGGUUCAAAAGUGAAAGACGGUCUUGCUGUCACUUAUAGAUGGAUCCGCGCUGCAUUAGCUAGUUGGUAAGGUAACGGCUUACCAAGGCAACGAUGCAUAGCCGACCUGAGAGGGUGAUCGGCCACACUGGAACUGAGACACGGUCCAGACUCCUACGGGAGGCAGCAGUAGGGAAUCUUCCGCAAUGGGCGAAAGCCUGACGGAGCAACGCCGCGUGAGUGAUGAAGGUCUUCGGAUCGUAGAACUCUGUUAUUAGGGAAGAACAUAUGUGUAAGUAACUGUGCACAUCUUGACGGUACCUAAUCAGAAAGCCACGGCUAACUACGUGCCAGCAGCCGCGGUAAUACGUAGGUGGCAAGCGUUAUCCGGAAUUAUUGGGCGUAAAGCGCGCGUAGGCGGUUUUUUAAGUCUGAUGUGAAAGCCCACGGCUCAACCGUGGAGGGUCAUUGGAAACUGGAAAACUUGAGUGCAGAAGAGGAAAGUGGAAUUCCAUGUGUAGCGGUGAAAUGCGCAGAGAUAUGGAGGAACACCAGUGGCGAAGGCGACUUUCUGGUCUGUAACUGACGCUGAUGUGCGAAAGCGUGGGGAUCAAACAGGAUUAGAUACCCUGGUAGUCCACGCCGUAAACGAUGAGUGCUAAGUGUUAGGGGGUUUCCGCCCCUUAGUGCUGCAGCUAACGCAUUAAGCACUCCGCCUGGGGAGUACGACCGCAAGGUUGAAACUCAAAGGAAUUGACGGGGACCCGCACAAGCGGUGGAGCAUGUGGUUUAAUUCGAAGCAACGCGAAGAACCUUACCAAAUCUUGACAUCCUUUGACAACUCUAGAGAUAGAGCCUUCCCCUUCGGGGGACAAAGUGACAGGUGGUGCAUGGUUGUCGUCAGCUCGUGUCGUGAGAUGUUGGGUUAAGUCCCGCAACGAGCGCAACCCUUAAGCUUAGUUGCCAUCAUUAAGUUGGGCACUCUAAGUUGACUGCCGGUGACAAACCGGAGGAAGGUGGGGAUGACGUCAAAUCAUCAUGCCCCUUAUGAUUUGGGCUACACACGUGCUACAAUGGACAAUACAAAGGGCAGCGAAACCGCGAGGUCAAGCAAAUCCCAUAAAGUUGUUCUCAGUUCGGAUUGUAGUCUGCAACUCGACUACAUGAAGCUGGAAUCGCUAGUAAUCGUAGAUCAGCAUGCUACGGUGAGUACGUUCCCGGGUCU
rnacentral:rRNA from 1 species